rnacentral:lncRNA from 1 species
GGAAAACUGAGUAUCACCAAGUCUUUACCAUCACCUUUUUAUUGGCAACCAUUUCAGGUGCUGUUCGAGUCCAUCAAGGCCUCUUCAUGGACGACCUGUUGCAUUCACAGUCAGCUCCAAUAAUAAUCUCCAUCUCUCUCGCAGUCCAACAACAAUAUAGUCAACAACACGCCACGUCCAUCGGGAUCAGGUGCUUCGUCACUAUCGCCAUUGUUACACAGAUUGCUGCACGCCGUUAAGAUCCGGGGCACCACCGGCAUCCGUACGACAGCAACCCUGCCGGGAUAUAUACGCUCUCCAAAGGGCGCGACGUGUUCGUUGAAGAACGCCGCUGCCAAGCAAGCCGGCAGCCGGACUGACCUGAGGCUAAUACAACUCCCAAACUCUACUAGCAUUGUUUCAGCUGCUACUUCACGCACCUGAUUUCUGCCAACUUCUGAGAUUUAUUCCACUUUCCGCAGUUACAACUCACAACCAUAAGAUAAGAUCCAUACAUGAAAUUUAUUCCACUUGAUCCGUGCCAUGCAUUCAUACAUGUGUGCGUACAGCGCAACAAUGCGGCAUCUGAGCAUCAUGCAUGUGCUACUACGUACAGCGGCUUUUAAUUACUCAACCACAUGAGUGCUGGCUGGGAGCGUCUCGUUCUUUCCAUGGAAGUUGAUGCGGUUGUCGCGGCAGUCGACGAACUGGUAGUUGACGAUGAGGUGGCCCCUCUGGUACCCCAUGCCGUCGGUGUCGAUCUUGACGAACACGGUGUCCCAGUCGAGGUCCAGCCCGCCGUUGGCGCACUGGUCCACGAUCCUCGCCGUGAUCUGCGCCCCCGUGCCCGUGUUGGUCACCCGGAUGCACCGCCCGCACGACGCCUGGCCGCGGGGGCCAGCGGGGCCGCAGAACGCCGUCCAGCCGUACUUGGACCGCCACGAGAACGGCUUGCCGGCGUCCCAGGUGGAGCAGUAGGCGCUCACGGCGGGGGCGCCCAGGUCCCAGCCGUUUUGAGCUGGGCGGUAGUAGUGGUAGGUCGCCCGGACGUUGCUCGCCUGCUGCGCCGCGGCAGCCGCGGCACCGGCGCACAGGAGCGCAACAUAGAAAUUGAAAGGAUCGAUAUAGUUGACUAGAGGGGGGUGAAUAGGCAACUAACAAUUUUUAAGCUUUUCUUUACCGAUUUAAACUUUGCAACAAAAUAGGUUGUCUAGAUAUGCAACUAUGUGAGCAACCUAUAUGAUGCAAUAACAACUAGCACAUGAGCAAGCAAGGGAUACAACACAAGUAAGGUUGCAAAAGUAAAGGCACGAAAUAACCAAGAGUGGAGCCGGUGGAGACGAGGAUGUGUUACCGAAGUUCCUUCCUUUUAAAGGGAAGUACGUCUCCGUUAGAGCGGUGUGGAGGCACAAUGCUCCCCAAGAAGCCACUAGGGCCACCGUAUUCUCCUCACGCCCUCACACAAUGCGAGAUGCCGUGAUUCCACUAUUGGUGCCCUUGAAGGCGGCGACCGGACCUUUACAAACAAGGUUGGGGUAAUCUCCACAACUUAAUUGGAGGCUCCCAACGACACCACGAAGCUUCACCACAAUGGACUAUGGCUUCGAGGUGACCUCAACCGUCUAGGGUGCUCAAACACCCAAGAGUAACAAGAUCCGCUAGGGAUUAGUGGGGGGAAUCGAAUAUCUCUUGGUGGAAGUAUAGAUCGGGGCCUUGUCACCCAAUCCCGAGCAAAUCAACAAGUUUGAUUGGCUAGGGAGAGAGAUCGGCCGAAAAUGGAGCUUGGAGCAACAAUGGAGCUUAGGGAUGGAAGAGGUGGUCAACUAGAGGUAGGAGACACACCUUUUAUAGUGGAGGACAACAUCCAACCGUUAUCCACUUAGACCAGCCUGCGACCUGCGAUACUACUGCUCCAGGAGCGCAGUACUACCGCAAGGCCAUGCGGUACUACCGUGAGGGACCACGGUACUACCGCGGCAGCUGCAGAGACUAGAACAUGCCCGACAGAGAGAAGUACUAUCGCGAGCGCGGUACUACCGCUCCCACCUGUGGUACUACCGCGAGGCAGGUAAGUCCUAGCCAGGAAGGGGCACGGAUGAAUAAAAAUACAUCUGUGCCUACUUCCGCUGACAAAGAGACGAUGCAAACAUCCGUCAUGGUUCUACCGUGCACAAAGAGCGGUACUACCGUGGGGGUGCGGAUGUAAAAAAUUACAUCCGCCCCUACUAUCGUGAAGUAGCGGCACUAGGCCUGGGAACCACGGUACUACGGCUCUAGGGAAGCGGUACUACCUUGCGCUCCUGCGGUACUACCGCGCUCGACGUGCGGUACUACCGUGCAGGCGCGGAUGUAAAAAAUUACAUCCGCCCCUACUACCGCGAAUCAGCGGUACUUGGACAGAGAGCCACGGUACUACGACUCCAGAUAAGCGGUACUACCGUGGGCUCCCGCGGUACUACCGCGCAUGCGCACGGUAGUACCGCAAGUGCCUGUGGUACUACCGCUCCAGGGAGCAGUACUAACGCAAGCUCAGCAAUAGCAGUCCAGACAAUCGCAAAGAGGAUAAACGGGGAGAACUCCAAAGAGCAAGGGAAAGGUGGAGACAAGGAAGGAAACGUGUACCUGAAGAUUCCACCCGAACCUUUCCGACGCGGACCCCCUCUUAAUAGUACGGCUCUCCUACGACUCAAAUCCACCAAAAAGAAACGUAGAAAAAUGCCGUCUUCAAUAGUCUUCGAGGGGCACCGAACCGUCUUGUGCCUAGCGAUGAAGCAACUGAGAAACUCAAGGCACACGAUUAGUCCGCAAAAGCAUUGUCAUCAAUCACCAAAACACUUAGGGAUAAAUAUGUCCUUACAGAAGUGCAAUAUAUCAGUGUGAUUUUUUUACCCAAAUCUUUAUUUGUUUGUGAGAGAUACAAAAAAAAGAGUAAAAUACAUGCAAAAAUCAGCUUAUUAUUUUGGCCUGAUUAUUUUCCUAUUUGCAGGGUAUAAUAUAACAAAAUUUCAAACAAAACCUGAAAAUCACUUAGAGCACAUGCAUAUGUUUUUGUUUGAAAUUUUUAAAAUUUGUAUGAAACUUUUAAUUGCCAGUUUUUAAACUUUCAAGAAAAAAUGCGCUCCAUCACGCUCCCAAAUUCCACUUUGGUUGCUAUGUACCUCUCAAAGGUGCCCAGUUGCUAUAUAUAUGGUGCUCCUAUGGGUCUGCACAAUUACUUUUCAAGUUCUUUAUUUUUAUUUUUCAUAUUAUUUUUACCAUUUCACAAAAGAAAUGUAAGAACAAAAUACAACUGCCAUAAACUUUAAGAAAGUGUUAGUGCAUUUGAAAAAUGUUCAACAUGUUUUUGGAAAAUGUUUCACAUGUUUUAAAAAAUUACAACGCAUUUUUGAAAAAUGUUUGUCGUGCGUUAAAAAAGUUUACUACGUGUAGUUUUAAAAGAGUUCAACGCUGUGUGAAAAGUUAUUGUGUAAAUUAUCCUUACACUUAUACAAACAUGGUUGACAUUUUUUAUUCUUAAAUUUAGACAAUAAUUUCUAAUAUAGGUUGAAAUAUUUAAAUCCACAUAAAUAAAGUUCAUGUCUACCUAUUCAAAGUACACAAGAAUGAAAAUGGAAAAAAUAUGUAAAAUAUAAAAUAAUAGCAUAUUGAUAGUUGUAUUUUCAUAUGGAAAAAAUUAUGUGUUAUGAAACUAAACAGGAACUUGGAAAAAAAAGAAGAAACUUGCAUAGCUUUCUAGGUAGGAGUUCAAUUCGAAGCAUGGUCCGGCCGUUUGGCCAGAUCGUGCCAUUGUUAAACAUGAUGUGCUAGGUUCGAUACCCCUCCAUGGAGUUUUUUUCCAUGUUAUUUCUCGCUAUCACACAGUGUAUUUGAUGACUUUUCUAUUGAUUAAAUAAAAUAUGAGUUUUUCUUUGUAAAAACAUCCUCACGCGUGGGCCACCCAGCGCCUCUUAGCCACUGUCAGGUGAGCCACGUCACAUUUGUACGCCACACGAGCUGGACGUACAUACGGAUACGAAUGUAGGCACCGUAUUUACACGGCCGAACAGGUUGGAGUAUCAGUUUCACGUAUUUUGUAACUUUAGGCACUAAACUGACCGAAAAGAACAAGUUGAAGCACCUCUAGUGUAUUUAACUCAAAUUGUUACAAGUGUGGAUGGAUACCUAUGUAAUCAUGUCAGCGUGUCACUUUCUACAAAUUUGUGUGGCUGCAAUUGCAAACACGUGGUCGAAAGCUAGAGGGAAGAUAUAUCUUUGCGCAUAAUUGAAGUUUUAGAUAAGAUAGCUCGAUUUAUUUUUAUGAGAUAAGAGUUCUCACCAUUUCAUUGAGAUACCGACAACACCAACUGCCUAGAACAAGUCCAAAGAAAAAAAGCGAAAACAAAACCUUACCUCACAUCUUCAUAAUUUCACUCGACAUAUAUCACAACAAUUAGAUUACGAUUAAUUAUAUAGUAUAUAGAUGCUUCCGCUGCAAUUUUUUGUAUACCCACACUUCGCAUCAGAAAAUCCGUCGGGCACACAUGCAUGCGGCCACCCAUGUGCUUUAAGAUUGGUGCACUAGGUAGUUUAUGUCAUUAGCCCUCAAUCGCUGCACUGGAGUCCAUGCAUGUCAGCUUUUGGCAGAGCUGCAUGCGCCACCUACCCUAUUUCUCAUGUGUUUUCAUUUUAUCUCAAAUUUUAAUCUAUUGUAUCUUCUGAACCAAAAGUUUAAAUUAAGUUAUGUUUGUAUACUUGUGUUCGUUGCAACAAGUCCUUUUGAACAAGACUAAUUUUGAAUACAUUUAAACAUCUUUUUAAAAAUUUACCAAGUUUCAAAUAGUAAAACAUGAGAAUCAUCAUAAGUUUUGACAAGUUACAUUUGUUAGGGGCAUAAGGUUUAGGACUUCGGAACAAGUAUAAGAAUAUAAAGCGACAGGUCCCCGCAUCGCUCCGCACGAGCGACACGGGCCGCGACCCAUGCCACCGCCGACAGCCCUUUCUCCGUCGUUUACCUCCCUCGCCGCCGCCCGGAUGCGCCGCCGGGCAAAGCCCGUGUGACAGCGGCGGCGGCGGGGCUUCUUCUUCACGGGGCGGGCGGCUUGUGGCUGGCUCGUGCGGCGCCGGCGCAUGGUCGUCGCGAGCUCGGCGUCGGCGGGCUGAAGCCCCUCUCCUCCGGCGGGGGCGGCGGAUCUGGGGCCCUCGCGCCCGGAUCUGAUGGUGUGUGGGCGGGGCCGGCCUGCAGCGGCGGCCCUGGCGCCGUGGGAUGGCGCCCGUGUUGCGGCCGAUCUGGUCCGGCGCGGGCGUGGCCUGGUGGUGCUCUGGCUGGGAAGGUGCGGUCAGACGGGAGAUGAAGCUUGAGGUGCGGGUGCGGCCGGGUAGCGGUGCGUCCGUGCGGGGAGGUGCGGCACGAGGUUCCCGGUGGCUUGGUUCUGUCGUCGUGAGGAUGUGCAGCGGUGUGGUCGGCGGCUGCUGCUCGGGCAGUGCGGCAGCCCGGGUGGAGGCAACUUAGUGUUGAUGUGCUGGGCGCGCGGGGCGGCGCGGAUCUGUUGCUCGGAGGUCGCGAAGGGUGAGGGUGGUCAGAUCCGGCCGGAUUUGACAUUGGUGGCUCGAUGGAGGGCUUGCUGAUGCAUGAUAUGCGGAGCUCGAGAGAUUGACCCGGGCGAAAGCUUGUCUCCGGCGUGUCCGGAACCGGCAAUGGCGACGCGUUCAGGCGUCGUUUCCUUCUUGUUGGCAUCGUCGAGGUACUCUCAGCUCCAAUUUUCGCAGCUUCGGGGGAAACCUUAGAUCCAUGGGAUCGGACGAUGACGGUGCUCUAGCAUCGUAUCCCCUCUCGAGGGCUUUGUCUUUGGAGCUAGGCAUCAUCAAGUGGGACCGAUGGAAGUUGGUGACCUGUGGCAACGAUGAUGGGUGUGUGCGAUGUCGGAGACGCGACAAUGGUUGUGAUAAUCGGCUCUUCUUUGGCGUGUUCGCGGGCAGAUUACCUCGGGUUGUUUUGUUGCGGUGAAGUCGGAGCUGUGGCGGCGGGGGCCCUGUGGCGACGAUGACAGGCAACAGAUGGUCUGUUCGGUGGUCUUCCGCGGCGCCAACCUUGCCUAGUUCUCCUUCGGAGCUAUCUUUCAGAGUCGAAGUUGUGCUGUCCUUGGCGUGGGUGGCUGAGUUUGGCGCGGGGCUUCUUAUGUUUCACAUAGCCUCUACGAUGUGGGUUGGGUCUACAUUUGUCUUCGGAGAAGUCGGAGUCGCUUGCUCGGAGAUUAGGGAGGGUGAUGACGCCUGUUGGGGAGAAGUGAUGACGAUGACACCGGUGUGUGAUGUUGACGAGACUCUAUGUGAGGUGGGUGUGUGAUUAUGAGUGUGCCGCUCAGCGGUUUGUGAUGGUUUUCGCCCGGUUUUCCGUAUAUUAACCGGGCAACUCUCUUCUUCUUUAUUAAUGAGAUGAGGCAAAGCUUUUGCCUCCGUUUCGGAAAAAAAAUGGUUUAGGAUUUCCGGCUUAGGGCUUAGGAUCUAGGGCUAAGGGCUUAGGGUUUCAGUUUUAGUCUUUGAAACUUGCUAAAUUUUUCAUUCAUUCUAUCAAGUUUUAGUAGUUGAAACUCACUUAAGUUUUUAGAAUUUGUCAAAACGUAUUCAAAAGUGGGCUUGUUUCAAAGCUCUCGACACAAGGGACAAGAAUAUGCAAACGAAAUAUAAAUUGAACUUUUGAUUCAAGAGAUAUAAUAGAUCCAAAUUUACAUGUAAAUAUGAAAAGGCGAACCAACCUGUGGUUGGAUGAUUAGAGGGACUGUGGUAUCCCCAGCCCACCAGGGUUCAAAUCCUGGUGCUCGCAUUUAUUUCUGGAUUUAUUUCAGGAUUUUCAGCGAUGCGCAUUCAGUGGGAGGAGACGUUCCCUUCGACGACGAGGCGCCUACGGUAACUUCGUAAAUCUUAAGAUGAUAUGCCGGCUAAGUCUUUCGGAGGUGCUCAUAGGGAUAGGGUGUGCGUGUGUGCGUUCAUAGGGAUGAGUGUAUGCGUGUGUAUAUGACGCUUGUGUUUGUACUGGUGUUCAAAAAAAUGUAAAAAUGAAAAGCAUAGGAGGUGGGAUGGCAUGUGGUCUAUGCCAAAAGUUGUACCAAAAAGUUGCGUGCAUGCAGUAAUUAAGCUCAAACCAUAAACCACUCUUCGGAUCUUGGUGCAAUCAUGCAGCUGCAUGCAUGCGUCUCCCGCCCCUGGGUGCCACAAAUCGUCUUCAACUUUAUAUUGUAAGAUAUGAAACCUUAGAGCAUCUCCAACCGCGCCCCAGAACAGUCUUCCCAGGCGUUUGGCCGGCGCUGAAAAAACGGCCCAUUCCCACCCCCCGGAGCCCGAUUUUCACCGACGGACCCAGACCGAACCCAGCGCGCUAGGGGGCUCUCAGGGGCGCCGAGGCGAGUAGUUUUCGCGCGAAGCAACCGCGGACCCGCCUAGUCAACGAGACGGGCGCUUCAUCGCCCUCAUCGCCUCGAUUUCCGCGGAAUCAAUGCCAAGGCUGCCGCGCUGCCGCCGACGGUCAGCCUUGCCAUUGAUUCCUCACGGGCGGCGCGUCACGGGGCGGCGCAGCGUCGCCUCCCCUCCCGCCACGUGUACAUACGGGCGCGGCUAUAUAAGCCGGCGCCCUCCCUCGCCUCCGCCUACACCAGCCCUCGCCGCCGAGCCCUCUCCCUCUCCCUCUGUCGUGCACCGCCGCCGCCGAGCCCUCCCUCUCCCUCUCCCGUGCGCCUCCUCCGAGCCCUCCCUCCCCCAAUGGCCGAACACUUCCCCGGCGACGAGGCGGUGGCCAACGGCAUCGGCCGCCGCUCGCUCCGCGAACAGGAGUCGUGGCUCCUGUUCGAGGCCAACAUCCCAGCGCCGCCGGACAUGCGCGUCGGGCCGUCGGGGUGGCGUCUCAGCAACGGGGGAGUGCCCGUUCCGCCGUUGCCCGACCCCGCGGUGCGGACCGCCUACUUUGCCGACGAGGUCGAGCUCGCACGCGCCUCCCUCAUCGAUGAGUAGCGCACCCUCCCCCAGUACGCCGCCGACAACCACUCGACAUGGGCGGCGUACUUCGAGCGCCGCCAGGAGCAGAGGCUGGCGUCCACCAACGGGGCGCCGGUGGUGGGCGCCAGGCAGAACAGUGAGGGCCGCCGCGUUUGGUGGGGCGUCCCCGGCCACACGCUCGGCGGCGUGUUGGCGCACCUUGAGGGCGCCAACGAGCCGCCACUGACAUACCCUCCCCCGGCGGCCCCGGCCCCGGCCCGCCGCCGACGCGCCGGGCAAUGGCUGCCCAGGAGGUUCGUCUCUUCGUCGUCUUCCUCCUCCUCGUUGCGAUCUUCUUCGCACUCCUCCGGCUCUUCGGCGCUGCUCGACGUCAAGACCGAGCACGUGACAUUGACGCCGCUCGGCCGGCGCACUCACAGCGCCGACAUCGUCAUCAACGAAGGCGGCCGGUGCGCCCCCUCGUCGGCUCCUCCGCGGUUCGUCAAGCCGAAGACGGAGCCCGGGCUCGCGACGGUGAAAACGGAGCCGGGGCUCCCCGCCGUGAAGACGGAGCCCGGCGAGGUGGCGCUAGACGAUGAUGCGGCCCUGAAAUGGGCGCGCAAGGACUUCCUCGGGGUGGAGAGGGAGCGCCAGGUCGCCGCACUGCGGCGCUUCGAGCAGCGUCGCCGGGGCCGCGGAGAAGAAGGAGUCGUCUAACUCGAUGACAACGAUGACGACGCGCCGCCGGCACCUGUCCGCCAUGGCAGCGCCGGGCAGGGGUGCAGCCGGGAUGGCCGCGUCAAGGAGGAUAAGGCCAACGAUGACAACGGUGGCGAGGACGGCGGCGACGACGGCGACUACUCCGCGUUUAGCGAUUUUCUUUUUUAGUUAUAUUUGUUAUGUAAACGCGUCGAACAUGUAAUAUAUGCCAAAAUUUACCGAAAUUUAGCCGUGUUUAACCGAACUUCGCUGAACUUUGCUUUUUUGAAAAAAUUAGACGCGCCUCGGGACGGUCCUGGGGCCGGCGACUGGGGGCCAACUCGUCCCAGGCCGUUUUUUUGCGCUGACUCGCCCCGAGGCAGCGAUUUUAGGCGCCCCUGGGGCCAACAGCUCUUAGCCCGACCCAUCUCCCUUGUGGCCACUUAAGCGACACAGACAGACCCUUGAUCGAGUUGCCAGGCCACUCUGUUGCCCCCCUUCUCACCUCACUGUCAUUGGAGGAAGCCAUUGGGCUAUGCCUAUGCGGUGGAUGGAGGCAGUAGGUGCCGCGAAGAACAAUGGCUUAAGUCCGCGAAGAACAACAGGCGCUACCAGCAGCACUUGGGUACACGUUCAUCAUCAGUCAUCACGGUGAAACAAUGUACAGAUGGCCAGGGGGCGAAGCUAGCAAUCUGGCGUGAUUUGGCGAAUGCCAUAUCUAAGCUGCCGUGAAAAUACGUAUAUAUACGACUAGUAUUAGCCCAUCAACACAAUUUUCAGGAUUUGGGAGUGUGCCUUGUGUUGGGCUUGCUUGAUGCCUAUUGAGUGGUGGGCCGUGACCAUGGGCUGACUCGUUCACGUAGCACUAGCACCGCAGCACGGCUGCUCGGCCUCGGCUGCUUGGCUGCCUAGGACUCGUUCGCAAGGGACGGAGAGGCGGCAACACUUAGCUAGGGCACCGCCGCACAGGCGCACGGCAGUCGGCAGUCAGUAGGCAGUGGGCGCACAGGACGGGACCUGCGACCGGCGAGGCGGCAACCGGCGACAAGGACACCGAGAGGCCUUGAUCGGCGAAGACUGCAACUCGCCGAGUCCGCUAGGGUUUGCAGAUGACGCCACCCAAGAAAAGGAUUAUGUAUGUAAUGAAAGAUGUAAUUUUAUUGUCCUUCUUCCCCUUGGUCGCAUUAGAUAAAUUGUCAUAUUACUUGCUCGAAUCACAUGAAGGAAUAUUAUUCAAUUGUUCACUAACCAAUUAAUGUUUCUUGUGGUUUCUACAGAUUUAAAGUGUAUUUUUGCCGAAGCCAGUAGAAGAAUGUCACUGCCACUGUCUACUUAAUGAAAGUAAACCUUCAUUGGGUACGUAUUCUUUCUAACUAUCUUCACUUGCAUAAUGUGGUUUCUAUCAUUAUAUCCUACCAGUUAUUAAUUCAUGAUUUAUCUAUGGUUUUUAUGUUUUAUAGGUCAUUUUUAUGCCAGUCUAGUUAAUAUAGAUGAUACAUUGGCAAUCAAUCAUCCAUAUAAUCUUCAUCAAAUGAGGUAUGUACAGUGCCCACACUUAAAUUUUGGAUUUUGGUUGUAUUUGUUGAACACCAAGUAAUAUUUAUCUAAUAUUUUAGUGAGCUCUUUCAUAGUCGAGUUGUACAUGAUUUUUUUUCAUUCAUAAACUUCGCCGCACCUGGAAAUUAUUCCAGCCUCCGCCACUGCAGAUGGCCCAGUCAACAACACGUCACGUUCAUCAGGUGCCUCGUCACUAUCGCCAUUGUUACCCGGAUUGCUGCACGCCGUUAAGAUCCGGGGCACCACCGGCAUCCAUACGACAACAACCCGGCCGGGAUAUAUACGCUCUCCAAAGGGCGCGACGUCUUUGUUGAAGAACGCCGCUGCUAAGCAAGCCGGCUAAGAGCAACUCCAACGGGACGGCCCAAACAUACACGCGCUUUGUCCGCUUUUUGUCCGUUUGGAUCGGCCAGGCGGACAUGCGCAUCGCAUUUUAAAAUGGGUCGGCUUGACUGUUCAAGGGGAAGGCCUACCCAAAUGUGCCGCCGUGGAAAAAAACAAGUUGCACAAAAGAAACAUAAAUAAACAUAAUUAAACAUAAAGUGGCCGGUCAAACGCCGGCCAAAGUCCACCUAAACCUAAUAAACAUUAAAUAAAACAUUAAAAAAGUCUGCGCCUGCCUGCUGUCGCCCGGCACGCUGCCCUAGACGUCGUCGGCCUUGCUCUUGCCCUUGCCGGCGUACGCGCCAUCGUCGGUGAGGUCGAUGAAGACCGGAGCAGGGCCAACCCACCCGAACGCCGCCUGGUAUGCUGCCAGUAGGGAUGGCAAUGGGGACAAUCCCCUAUGGGGAUACCUACAACAUCCCCGUCCCCAUCUAUUCCCUAUUAUCCCAUCCCCAUCCCCGUUUACAUGAAUAGGGAUGAAAUUUCCCCAUACACAUGCCCCACUGGGAACGGGGCCCCAUUAGGGUCCCCAUCCCCAUAAACAAAUACUCAUAUACAUAAUAUGGCACCCUAUGAUCAACAUACAUGCAUGGUGUUGUCCUUGUCCUGCUAAUGCCUAUCUAGGUCAUAUUGACUUCUUGGUCGUGGUGACAGCUGAGGUGAGGAUGUGAGAUAGGUUUAAGGUUUUUUCAGAGCUUUUUUUGUUUUCGCAAGUUUGUUUGUGAAUAUUUUAACAUUGACCGCAGUGUCACAGUUACUAACCGGGCCCCUGAUGGGUAUUGGGUCUAGGGAAUAGGAUAUCGUCUCCAUCCCCGUUGUACCCUAUGGGGAAUAAAUUAGUUUGGUAAAUAUCCCUAUGGGGAUGUUUUUCGUCCAUCCUCACCCCCUAAUAGAUGAAAUCCCCACGGGUUUGGAGGGUAUGGGGCCCCGUUGCCAUCCCUAGCUGCCAUGGCAGCCUCCUCCGGUGUCUGUUGGGGCGGCGGCAUUGUGGCAAGCCGUGCGCGCUCCUCCUCCUCCUCCUAGAGCCGGAGUGCCUCUGCGUCGCGUUGGAGCAUGGCCUCAUAGCGCAUCUGCUCCUCGCCGUCGGCCUGCUCCUGGCCGAGCCAGUGCUCCUUCCAUCGCUCGAGAUGGGCCGCCUCCUCCUCCGGCGUCGCGGCAAAGUGGACGGGGGGCGCGCUCACCCACUCGUGGUAUUGGCCCGUCCACGAGUAGGCCUCCUUCGGCCAAGUGGGUGGAGGCGGGGAGCGCUUACGUGAUGGCUCCGGCUCCGGCUCCGGCUUGGGCUGGACGGGCGGCGACGGUGGAGGUGGUGGCACGAAGAGCAGGGUUUGGAUGGAGUCCUCCGCCGGCGACAGGGCAAGGGCUUGCUCCAUCCCAUCCCAGUGCGUGUCCUCGUCGAUGCGGCUAGCCUCCAGCGCAUGCUGCAGGGCCUCCUCGAGGACGGCUUGGUACUCCGCCUCUGCCUCCAUGUCCUCCGGCUCUACCUCCGGGGGCGGCGGUGGGAACGGCGGCGGGACGGCGUCGACACCCGAGCGCCGUUGCUCCUCGUGUUCGAGGGCGAACCAAGCCUCCCAGUUGGGAGAGUCGGCGGCGUACUCGGGCAGCCGACGCUGCUCCGGCGUGAGCUGCGCGCGGCGCCGGCGCACCUCGUCGUCGUGCGCCCGCUGGGUCCGCGGAACCACCGGCACCGGGAUCCCCUGGGGAUCCAAAUGCCAAUGGUGCGGCAGCGUCACGUCGGGGUAGGGGAGGGGCUGCCUGUACUCCUAGUGCCACCGCGCUUGGUGCACCAGGAUGUGCAGGCACCGGCGUUCAGGGCGGAAACGCGCCGGCGGUGGAGGGGGAGGGGUAGCACGGGACGACGAGGCGCCGGGGGUGCCCUUGCCCUUGCCCUUGCCAUUGCUACAGCCGAAGAGACCCAUGGGCGCGCUAGGGUUUGCGGUCACCGGCGAGGAAGCAAAGGGAGUGGUGGGAGGCCAGAUGUGGACGGGAGAAGUGGAAGAGGCCGACCUCACCGCACGCGUGGUUAAAAAAGGAUACGCGCACUGGCUGACGCGUGGGCCCGCUGUUGAUGGUCGUCAUAAAUAAGACGAUCGGUGGCGGUUGGGUGGCCGCCAAGUGGGGACGCGGCGGACGGCGAGGAGACGCGCGGCGCGUCCGCGCCGACGCAUUCCAGGCGCAAUUUUGGGCCGGAAAUGGGUUGGCGCCGAUGCCAGGCGGACACGAUUUGAGUUUGGGGCGGCGCGUUGGGCCGCCACUUUUGUCCGCGCUGACCCAAAUAGACGCGGGCGGACGAAAUGGGUCGCCCCAUUGGAGUUGCUCUAAGGCCUUGUACAAUCCUAGGUUCCUAGGGAGAUGCUUAGAAAAAUAAAGCGGAUUAUUCUGAAGCAUCGGUGCCUAUUUUUACAGGUGAGGUGUCUAAUUAAGCACCUACGCUGUACGAUUAAGCACCGAUUCUUAAGAAAAGCAUGAUUUAUAUCUUUAUAAGCACCUCUUCUAAGCACCUUGCAGUGUACAUGGCCUAAUACAACUCCCAAAUUCUACUAGCAUUGUUUCAGCUGCUACUUCAGGCACCUGAUUCCUGCCAACUUCUGAGAUUUAAUCCACUUUCCGCUGUUAAAACUUACAACCAUAAGAUCCAUACAUGAAAUUUAUUCCACUUCCCGUUUGAUUUAUUCCACUUGAUCCGUGCCAUGCAUAUGCAUACAUGUGUUCGUACAGCGCAACAAUGCGGCAUCUGGGCAUCAUGCAUGUGCUACUACGUACAGUAGCUUUUAAUUACUCAACCGCAUGAGUGCUGGCUGGUAGCGUCUCGUUCUUUCCAUGGAAGUUGAUGUGGUUGUCGCCGCAGUCUACGAACUCGUAGUUGACGAUGAGGUGGCCCCUCUGGUACCCCAUGCCGUCGGUGUCGAUCUUGACGAACACCGUGUCCCAGUCGAGGUCCAGCCCGCCGUUGGCGCACUGGUCCACGAUCCUCACCGUGAUCUGCGCCCCCGUGCCCGUGUUGGUCACCCGGAUACACCGCCCGCACGACGCCUGGCCGCGGGGGCCAGCGGGGCCGCAGAACGCCGUCCAGCCGUACUUGGACCGCCACGAGAACGGCUUGCCGGCGUCCCAGGUGGAGCAGUAGGCGCUCACGGCGCCCAGGUCCCAGCCGUUCUGAGCCGGGCUGUAGUGGUGGUAGGUCGCCCGGACGUUGCUCGCCUGCUGCGCCGCGGCGGCCGCGGCACCGGCGCACAGGAGCGCCACCACCAGCGCGAGGCGUGCGGCCAU